ACCAUUGCUUUUACAAUAAAAUGACGAUACGAAACACGUUAUUCUCAAUCUCCUCGGAAAAAACCCUAUAUACAAUAUAUUUACAUUUUAUUUAAUUUUAUUUGUGAAAUGACUAAUAUAUAUAUUUUUUUUUAGAACAUAAAACUCGAAGCAAAUUUGGCGACGAUGUCAAAAAUCUCCUGAAUGCAGUUUUAAGCGACGAUAAUUUCUUCAGCUGUAAUCACAUUACACCUUAUGGAUAUCAAAUUGAUUUUGUAAUACACUUUGAUAAAAAUCGUGAGCCUAUUCCAGCUCCAGCAGAAACAACAAUAUUAGAUCGCAUAACAAAAUUUGCAAUACUGUUGCUGCGGUUAGAUUCUUUUUGUGAAAACGAUCUGACAGCAUUGCGUGGACCUGAACACCUUAAAACAAAACAUUUAGAGAUGAUGGGCUACAAAGUGAUUCAUAUUAACGAGCACGAUUGGAACACAAGAUACAUGAAUUCUCCUGAAAUCAAAACAAAAUAUCUUAAAUACCUCCUGCAGAUAUAAAUAAAAAGUUAUAUAGUGUGUAUAUAUCUAAUAAAAUUAGUUAAUUAUUCUUAAUAUUUGUAAAAUAAAUUCUUAUUUGAUUUUAACAAUUUACCAUAAAUUAAAAUGU